GCCGGCAUAGCUCAGUGGUAGAGCAGCUGAUUCGUAAUCAGCAGGCCCGGGGUUCGAAUCCCCGUGCCGGCUCCA
rnacentral:tRNA from 2 species